rnacentral:tRNA from 1 species
GUGGGGGUAGCAAAGUCUGGUCAAUUCAAAACUCGUUUUAAAAAUACGAAAAACGCAGUUUUGAGGCUUAAUGCGCAGGACUUAAGAUCCUGUCUCUUAGUGGGUUCAGGGGUUCGAAAACUAGUCGUAAAAAAACAGCCAAAUUAAAUGGUGUUUACCUCGACUCGUCGUGUCUCCCCUCCCCCACA